rnacentral:rRNA from 1 species
GACGAACGCUGGCGGCGUGCUUAACACAUGCAAGUCGAACGGAAAGGCCCUGCUUUUGUGGGGUGCUCGUGUGGCGCACGCGUGUGUAUCACGUGUGUAACCUGCCCUUGACUUUGGGAUAACUUCUGGGAACUGGGGCUAAUACCGGAUAGGAGCUCCUGCUGCAUGGUGGGGGUUGGAAAGUUUCGGCGGUUGGGGAUGGACUCGCGGCUUAUCAGCUUGUUGGUGGGGUAGUGGCUUACCAAGGCUUUGAAGGGUAGCCGGCCUGAGAGGGUGACCGGCCACAUGGGGACUGAGGUGCGGCCCAGACUCCUACGGGAGGCAGCAGUGGGGAAUAUUGCACAAUGGGCGGAAGCCUGAUGCAGCAACGCCGCGUGCGGGAUGACGGCCUUCGGGGGGUAAACCGCUGUCGCCUUUGACGAAGCGUGAGUGACGGUAAUGGGUAAAGAUGCACCGGCUAACUACGUG